GUGAAUCAAAACAGUGCAGGCCGCAUGAGCCAGUGGGCGGUGGCGUCGUCCUUCUUCACUCGGGCUUAACAGCAGCCGACGUCCUCAGUGUCGCAUCACUGCCACCUGCUGGAGGAAGGUAAAGCACCGGUGUAACUGAUAACAUUCUAGAUGGAUCCAUUACUUUCUUGUGGUAGGACGCCAUCAUGCACAAAACAAGGGCCUUUAUACUGGAACAGGCACUUCCAUGUCGAGCCCGCAAGAUGGCACCAAAGUCUGGAGUUAUCUCUUGACUUAAUGGACUCAAUUGGCACAAACCAGUUGUAUCACUUGAUGGCAGUAGGGAGCCAGAGUGUCUCACUCUCACAGUAAAACCCAUCAACAGUAAUUGCUGGGCGUGGCUGUGUAUGACAGAAUGGUGAGUAAUUGUCCCUGCAUAGCCCACACACACACACACACACACAUACAUGCGCACACACACACAGAUAGAGCUAGCAGUUCCUACAUGGCACAAAUGACCGCUGUGCUUACACAAGACUUCCUUCCCUGUCCUGAGUGACAUGAAGUGACACUUCAGAUUCUGUGGAACUAAUGAACAGUUCUUACUGGUGAAUUUUUUUGGAGCAAAGGGCGAAAUCUUUGAGAUCUUACUUCAUUACUCUCUGGAAGUAAUUUAAAACACUGUGGCCCCCCACAGCUGUGCAUUUCUCUGAGAGGAGAGCUUGCAAGCAACAGCUCAACAGAACAUCUCUGAUACAAUACACAGAUAAAUCUAUUUAAUGUCUAUCUAGAAUUUUUUUUGUCUCAGUAAAUCAGUG